AACGAACGCUGGCGGCAUGCCUAACACAUGCAAGUCGAACGAGACCUUCGGGUCUAGUGGCGCACGGGUGCGUAACGCGUGGGAACCUGCCCUUAGGUUCGGAAUAACUCCCCGAAAGGGGUGCUAAUACCGGAUAAUGUCUUCGGACCAAAGAUUUAUCGCCUUUGGAUGGGCCCGCGUUGGAUUAGCUAGUUGGUGGGGUAAAAGCCUACCAAGGCGACGAUCCAUAGCUGGACUGAGAGGAUGAUCAGCCACACUGGGACUGAGACACGGCCCAGACUCCUACGGGAGGCAGCAGUGGGGAAUAUUGGACAAUGGGCGAAAGCCUGAUCCAGCAAUGCCGCGUGAGUGAUGAAGGCCUUAGGGUUGUAAAGCUCUUUUACCCGGGAUGAUAAUGACAGUACCGGGAGAAUAAGCUCCGGCUAACUCCGUG
rnacentral:rRNA from 1 species